AAUCAGUCACAUCGAUGCUGCUAUAUUUCCUUGAAUGUGUGGCCUUAUGAGCAUGAGCAUCAUUUGAGUGUCAGUCUAUUGGUCUUGUGUGAUAUGGCAUCACAUGGACUGCCUGUGCCAUCCGGUGGGUCAUGGAAAGAAAGUUAAGGUCCACUUUGUGUUAUGAUGUUGUGAUUUUUAACCACCCGUAGUUUAGAAAAGAAUGCACAGAUCUGAUCUAUAUAACCACUCUUUUACUCUCUUUGGAUGUGUUUGUUUUGGUGAUAAAGCGUUAUAAUCAUCACUUUCAUGCCUAUAAUCUGAUGUCUUGUGACUCAAGUAUGAAGUUAGAAUUGUUUCUAAUUCAGAGACAAAUAGAAAGUUGGUCCACAAAUAAAUGUAAAAAUAAAGUGAACUCGCAUUAAAUAAAAUGAGAUUUGCAAAAAAAAACAAAAACAUAUUUACCAAUAUAUAUUUAACUCACAAACACAACUCUGUCCAGCAUUUAUUUGUGGAUCGCUUGCUGUGCAUUUGUGGAUGGCAGCAGAAAUAUUUCUUGAGUCAGAGCUGCAGGCAAUCCACCAAUAUGUGGACUCCAGCCAUCGUCUGCUCAAGCCAAUCAGAUAACGGCCACAUUAUUCGGACCAGUCGUAGCAUGUUCUAUCUUCAACCAGUCACGCUUAGUUGUUCUAUCAGGGCGGGACCAGAGUCACAGCGCUCUCAUGAGCAUGGAAUCAAGCACAUAUAGAUAAGCUCCAAGGCCGCAAACUUUUAAAGAAACAUACGCCAUCAGAGGAAUACUGUGACUUAAGAAUGCUCUUACCAUGACUAGGAGUAUCUGCCCCAGACAACAGAUACAACACCAUGACGUGGCAAUAAGGAUGUUCAUGUACAACAAACCUGAGCAAAAUGCCAGCACUCCAGCUGUAAUGUUCAAUUCCAGUGUUUGUGUGUGUAAAUAUGUACUCUAAUUUAUUGUCUUUUGUAGUUACAUAGAUGACAACCUGUAAUUUGUAACCAAAAAAAUCAUUCCUUUUAGCCAACAGACUUGCUUUAAAGGAGAUGUCAGGAAUAAUGAUAGGGACUGACAGCGCCGCUUUCAUUUCAGCCUCAUUAGUAGCAUCUACAUUUUACAAUGUAUUAUCAUAUUCCACAGAAGAAACUAACGUUUAAAAAAAAUAAAUAAAUAUGAGGGUGAAUAAAUGACAGAAUUUUCAUUUUUAAGUAAGUCAACCCAAAGGCAAUGAAAUUUUGUAUUGCACUUUCAUUUCACAACAUGACAUUGUAAGUUAAAAGAAAUCUGACAUAACAGAAAAAUAAAACAAUCUCAUAUUA